GCUUCUGUAGCUCAGUUGGGUUAUAUAGAGCGCUGCACCGGAAUCGCAGGGCCGCAGGUUCGAUUCCUGCCAAUUA